UGGGGAAUUUUGGGCAAUGGGCGCAAGCCUGACCCAGCCAUGCCGCGUGAGUGAUGAAGGCCCUCGGGUCGUAAAGCUCUGUGGGGAGGGACGAAAGGACCCAGGAUAAUACCCUGGGAAGUUGACGGUACCUCCUUAGCAAGCACCGGCUAACUCCGUGCCAGCAGCCGCGGUAAUACGGAGGGUGCAAACGUUGCUCGGAAUUAUUGGGCGUAAAGCGUACGUAGGCGGUCUUUCAAGUCGGAUGUGAAAGCCCUCGGCUCAACCGGGGAAGUGCACUCGAAACUGGAAGGCUUGAGUACGGAAGAGGGUCUCGGAAUUCCCGGUGUAGAGGUGAAAUUCGUAGAUAUCGGGAGGAACACCAGUGGCGAAGGCGGAGACCUGGGCCGAUACUGACGCUGAGGUACGAAAGCGUGGGGAGCAAACAGGAUUAGAUACCCCUGUAGUCC
rnacentral:rRNA from 1 species